AGAGUGCAGCAAAUUUCUAUCGUGCCUUUUCCUGGAAUGUAUUUUUGUAUUUCUUAAAAGAGGUACAGAAAACAGAUUGCUUGUCCCGUCAGAGAUGCUUUCUUGUUUGUUCUUAAAUUUCUAAUUCUGCUGCACAAUAAUGUAAUUGGAGAGUGGAGCUAGCUGUGUAUUUUGACUUCACUUAUUUUGUUGGACCAGAUAUGAUAGUUGUCAGUUAUUAAUUUUAAGUAAUUCCUUAAUUAGCAAUUAUUUUUGUUACUGUUUUGUAUUAUUUUUAUGCUAUUAUUAUUUAAUACUAGUUUCAUUUGGAUAGGAAUAAUUACUUUGAACUGAUAUAUACUGAAAACAUAAAAUUCUGAAAAUCUAAAGAGCAACCUUUUAUGUAAGUUUUAGAAUAUAGAUGCAUUCCAUCUAUUCCUUAAUAUGCAUUAAUUUAGGUAAAUUUACCUUUCCUUUACUGUCAACUGCAGUAAAUGGCCAAGAUUAAUUAGGCAAUUGAGAUUAUUUUGUUUUUUUCAUGGUGCUUGUGAUGGUCAACUGUAAUUGAUGAGACUGUUGUGUCCUAGCUAGUUGCUCUCAGCUGUAGCCUGUUUGUUCAGUGACAAUGUAUGGUACAGCAUCCUUGCCAUGAUAUUUGAGCUGUUCCUCGUUCAAGUCAGGGCUAAAUCAGUACCACUAGCUUGGGGAAAUGCCAUAAUUGAAUUAAUUUGGGCUCUACCAUAGCUGCAGAGAAAGAGGUUUUCCUCCCAGAGAUGUGGGGUAAGCAUUUCAGGCUGUCUUAGAUAAUGCUCUGAAACAUUUGCUGUAUUCUCAUGUAGAUUCUCUUUUACUUAAUUUUGCAUGUAGCAUGUUCUUGGCUAGUUUAAAAGCUGUAUAAUAACAAAUGCUACCUAGAAUCUCACAUUCACUGCUUUUAUAGAAAAAAAAAGAUGUGAAUAAAAGAGAGGAAUGCAGAAGCAAAAAGGUUAUUCUCCUGAAAUCAGGUAUUUCCCCUUUGGCUUUGGUCUGAAGAUCUGCUUCAGGAGAUGGUUGGGACAGAUGGUUUGACCACAUGUAUAAUAACUUAAUUAGAUUUUGUCUCUGUCCCUCCUGCCCACCCCUCAAAAAAUCUAGAUCUAAGAAUAAAUUGGCUUUUAUAUAUGAGAGCAUCUUUCAGAAUUCUUUUCAUCAGUCUGCUGGUGCGAUAUUGCUCCUUGAGAAUGAUGUGGUAGGUUUUGUGUUCAGUUUUAACAGAAUCCGAUUUAGGUGGAGUGUAUUGCAAACAUUAUUUUGAUUAAAGUGACUUCAGGAAUAAAACGGUCCAAAAUUUGUCUUACAGUGGAAACUAAAUAUGACAAUAUGAUAACAAAAAUAUCCAAAUUCUUAUUAUGCCUCUGUUUGUUCUGAGAUCCAUAGAUCUUUGGUGGUUAGUGUAUCAAGAUUUACCUAGCCUCUUGCAGUUUCCUCCAGGAUUUUUUUUUCAGUGACAGCAAUGUUCAAUCAUACUUCUGGUUGGGUUUUUUUGAGGAAAAACCAAACUGCAUAUAUUUAUGCUUCUUGUGUUCAGUAAUUUUAAUGCAUGCGAUAGCGUUCUGCUGUGAGUGACUCCAAGGGGCUGCUGUCUCCAACAAGAUGGGAAUUACUUGAUUCUAGGAAUUUUUUCCAGAAGGUGUCUGGAUUCAAGUUUUUCAUUCAAAUAGGCCAGCUUUCAGGAAUCCCUGGACCUUGAGACGAGAGGGAAGGUCUGGAGCAUGGACAACUUACCCAUGGUGAAGGAGGAUCAAGUUAGGAACACUUAAACUGAACAUAGAGAAGUUCCAUGGGGAGUGAUGACUUGCAGCCAUGAAUGCUAAGGGAGCUGGCUGAUGUCAUUGUGAGGCCACUCUCAGUUGUCUUUGAGAGGUCAUGGUGAUUAGAAGAGGUUCCUGAAGACUGCGAAAAAGCAAAUGUCACUCACAUUUUCAAGAAGGGCAAGCAGGGAGAUCUGGGGAUUAGGACAAGAAACAAUAGACACAAACUGAAACACAUGAAAUUCUGUCUAAACGCAAGAAAACACUGUGAAGGUGGCCAACAUUGGAUUGAGUUGCCCUAAGAGGUUGUGAAGUCUCCAUCUGUGGAGAUAUUCAGAACCCAACUGGACAUGGUCCUGGGCAACCUGCUGUAGCUGACCCUGCUUGAGCAGGGUGUUUGAACCAGAUGAUCACACGAGGUCCCUUCCAGCCUAAAUGACUGUGUGAUUCUGUGAGAGUUGUGGACUGCACUUUCCAUUUAAUAAAGUAGAGGUAAUCAUCAAGCGUUUAAAGGAUGGGUGAAAGAAGUUAUGAUGUAGAAUUUGAGUGCCAGAAGCUUUAGGGGUAAUAAGUGACCUAAUCAUUGGCUGUUUGUUUACUAAAUUGCAAAAAGUACAAGUACAUAAAUUUUCUUCAUAGCAUUAACUCAGUGUUGAAGUCCUAAAAGACAGUGCUGUAGAAUGGCAGGAGUUGUUGCUUUUUAUGUCUGAUUGUGUGCUAUAAAACAGUUGAGAGCAUGAAAUACUGUGAAGUGUUAAUACAAACUUUAGUACGUAGAGCUUCUUGUUAAUGCUUUAUGUGUAUUUUCAAAUAGUGCUAUGGAAAAGUGAUAGCAUUGCAUACUGUAUUUCAUUAAAUCAGCUACUGUAACUAAAUAGCUGUAGACUUCUUAAAACAGUAUUUCAUAAUUAUUUAGAAGUAUUUUAUUCAAACUAUCAACUGUGUAGAAAAAUGUAUAGCCAGCAGCCCUCUCUGCUGUUUCAGCACCUUUUUUUAAACACUUUCUUUCUUCCUGUGUAAAUGAUCAGUGUAAUGCAUAAUGUCUCUUGUCUGUUAACUAGAGUUUUGUGCUUAAAUGUGAGAACCAUUAUAUUGAGCCUUUAUAUUUGUUGUAAUUAAAAAUGUCAUUUUAAGUGGUCUAUUUCUGUGGAAUUCUUGGAGUAGUGGACUGUACUGACAAGUUGUGUUGUUUAACUCCUUAUAAAUUGCGGAUGUGCAUCUAUUUUUUUACUUUUGGCUAGAUAAUAAUGUAAUAUAUUACUAUAGAUUUAGCUGAUGUUUGCCUUUAUUCAGCAGCAGUACAUGCUGAAUGCCAGUAAAACGAAUUUGUAAUGUCAAGGAAGAAAACUUCUGUAAGUUGAUGCAAGCAAAUGUUUGCGAUCAGCAUGUAUCUGUCCUGUGUUUGUUUCAUUAAGCUCCUACAAGCCACCCAAUUAUGUAACUCAAAUAAAUGAAAAUUGCUUCAAAAUCCUA